UUUAAAGUUUCUUGUUGACGGAAAGUUCUAAAUAUAUUGAUUAAUUUUUGUAAUUGUCAGUUUAUCAUACGUAUUUCUGUCUCGCCGAUGGUAAAAGAUACUGUGUUGACAUAAAGGUUAUGGCAAGUAAAGGCAGCAAAUCAAAGGGUUCAUCAUGGUUCACUCCAACAUUAGACGACUUUGGACUGACGUCUCCAACCCUGAGUGAGAGGAAACCAAAGAAGAGGCCCAGAGAAGCCGAAAUCUUUAGUCAGUGUGGGAAGAAAGUCCAACAGG